GGCCCAUGGUUCAGUGGUAGAGCAUCCACUUGGUAUGGAGAGGGCCUCAAGUUCAAUACUUGGCAUCUCCA
rnacentral:tRNA from 1 species